rnacentral:lncRNA from 1 species
AUGUCAGCCUUACCAGCUUAUGCUCAAUUCAGUCAAAACAGAUGUGGGGAGGGAUUCUGUGGAUACCAGAAUAAAGUCCUUAAAAGGAAUUGUAAAAACCUGAAUGUGCUUAUCAUCCGUUUCCCCCAUUAUUCCCCCUCCACCACCACCACACCAUCUUGUGUCUGUAAUGCCAACCAAUGGAUUAUCUUUCCAUAUGUUUUAAUAUCCCCUAGCCUUGCUCUUAAAAAUGAUUCUUUAUUGUAAUAAUUAAAAUGUAGCCCACUAAUUGCAAUAGUACGCACACAAAAUUAUUUAUCAAGUUAGAAGCCCUGAAAGUUUGUAAUUUGACAAAGUAAAAAAUUAAUUUUACUUUUCUGCAUAUUUUCAACUCCUUUGAGGAAGGCUGUCUUCAUAAACUAUGGAAUAGUGAGCAUGAUUUGAAAAAUCCAAUGGUUGGAAGAAUCCAGAUGUUAGAAACCUUUAGAAAUCAAUGUAGCACCAAAUAAGACAAGACUACCUUAUGGGAAUUUGAUUAGAAAAAGAAAAAUUGCUGAUUGCUAGUAGGUGAUGACUUCAUCUCUGCCACCCCUAUCAUCAAUCAGGAAACAGAUUCCCCAAAUGCAUCUGCUCUAGGCAAAAUUGCUAAACAGAUAAAUUUUGUCUUUAAAAAAAUCUUUUUCUGAGUCUUUAUAUGGAAGGGCAUUACAUCCUCUGCUGAAUAUCAUUUACCCUUGUUUUGUUCACUUAGACUUCUUGGACCCCAAAUAUCCAGUAAUCGCCAGCCAUCUACUCCCAAGAAACUCAUUCAUUAAUGAAUUCAUUCCAGUGUCUUAGGGACUUAGUAUGUUAACUCUGUCAAGUUUGUGCUUUAAAAGAGUUUAGUGGACUUUGAGGGUAGAAGGAAAGAUUUUGGGUGGAGGACCUUAAAUCGUACCAUGUGUAAUUCUACUGUGCCCACCAUUUCCAGCCUCAGAGAUCCAAGAAAAUUUACAUCCUGUCUAGAAUUCCAACUCUUAACCAGGGACCUAAAGCAGUGAGUGACCCUUACUUUACAUCUUGAAUUGAAAUUAGCACUAUAGGAUAUUUAGUUUGGGCCUGUAGGGAUAGAGGUGGAAGCUCUUCCUAGGGUAUAUGUUGAUCUGUGUUAUCAUCCUCAAGAAAAGGUUCUCUAUCAAGAAAUGUGUGCCAUCAUUUGAAUUACUCACCAUUAUACAUUGGGCAUCAUCUGGUUCAUUAAGAAAAUAAAACUCAUUAAUUCAUAGAAAAGUUCUAAAAA